rnacentral:rRNA from 1 species
CCUACGGGAGGCAGCAGUGGGGAAUAUUGGACAAUGGGGGGAACCCUGAUCCAGCCAUGCCGCGUGUGUGAAGAAGGCCCUCGGGUUGUAAAGCACUUUCAGUGAGGAAGAACGCCUGGUGGUUAAUACCCAUCAGGAAAGACAUCACUCACAGAAGAAGCACCGGCUAACUCCGUGCCAGCAGCCGCGGUAAUACGGAGGGUGCGGGCGUUAAUCGGAAUUACUGGGCGUAAAGCGCGCGUAGGUGGCUUGAUAAGCCGGUUGUGAAAGCCCCGGGCUCAACCUGGGAACGGCAUCCGGAACUGUCAAGCUAGAGUGCAGGAGAGGAAGGUAGAAUUCCCGGUGUAGCGGUGAAAUGCGUAGAGAUCGGGAGGAAUACCAGUGGCGAAGGCGGCCUUCUGGACUGACACUGACACUGAGGUGCGAAAGCGUGGGUAGCAAACAGGAUUAGAUACCCGAGUAGUC